rnacentral:rRNA from 1 species
GUCCACGCCGUAAACGAUGGGUGCUAGGUGUCGCGGGCUUUGACCCCUGCGGUGCCGCAGCUAACGCAUUAAGCACCCCGCCUGGGAAGUACGGCCGCAAGGCUAAAACUCAAAGGAAUUGACGGGGGCCCGCACAAGCGGUGGAGCAUGUGGUUUAAUUCGACGCAACGCGAAGAACCUUACCUGGGCUAGAAAACACAGGAACCUGGUUGAAAAGUCGGGGUGCUCUUCGGAGAACCUGUGGUUAGGUGCUGCAUGGCUGUCGU